CCUACGGGAGGCAGCAGUAGGGAAUCUUCCACAAUGGACGAAAGUCUGAUGGAGCAACGCCACGUGAGUGAUGAAGGGUUUCGGCUCGUAAAGCUCUGUUGGCAGUGAAGAAAGAUAGAGGUAGUAACUGGCCAGUAUCUGACGGUAAUUACUUGGAAAGUGCCGGCUAACUACGUGCCAGCAGCCGCGGUAAUACGUAGGUGGCAAGCGUUGGCCGGAUUUAUUGGGCGUAAAGCGAGUGCAGACGGUUCAAUAAGUCUGAUGUGAAAGCCUUGGGCUCAACCGGAGAAUUGCAUCAGAAACUGUUGAACUGGAGUGCAGAAGAGGAGAGUGGAACUCCAUGUGUAGCGGUGGAAUGCGUAGAUAUAUGGAAGAACACCAGUGGCGAAGGCGGCUCUCUGGUCUGCAACUGACGCUGAGGCUCGAAAGCGUGGGGAGCGAACAGGAUUAGAUACCCCAGUAGUC
rnacentral:rRNA from 1 species